GAUGAAGAACGUAGCGAAAUGCGAUAAGUAGUGUGAAUUGCAGAAUUCAGUGAAUCAUCGAAUCUUUGAACGCGCAUUGCGCCCCUUGGUAUUCCAUGGGGCAUGCCUGUUCGAGCGUCAUUUGUACCUUCAAGCUUUGCUUGGUGUUGGGUGUUUGUCUCGCCUUUGCGUGUAGACUCGCCUUAAAAUAAUUGGCAGCCGGCGUAUUGAUUUCGGAGCGCAGUACAUCUCGCGCUUUGCACUCAUAACGACAGCGUCCAAAAGUACAUUUUACACUCUUGACCUCGGAUCAGGUAGGGAUACCCGCUGAACUUAAGCAUAUCAAUAAGCGGAGGA
rnacentral:misc_RNA from 1 species